UACAGAGGUCUCAAGCGUUUGUUCGGAUUCAUUGGGCGUAAAGGGUGCGUAGGCGGCACGGUAAGUCGGGUGUGAAAUCUCGGAGCUUAACUCCGAAACUGCAUUCGAUACUGCCGUGCUUGAGGACUGGAGAGGAGACUGGAAUUUACGGUGUAGCGGUGAAAUGCGUAGAUAUCGUAAGGAAGACCAGUGGCGAAGGCGGGUCUCUGGACAGUUCCUGACGCUGAGGCACGAAGGUCAGGGGAGCAAACAGG
rnacentral:rRNA from 1 species